GAUGAAGAACGUAGCGAAAUGCGAUAAGUAAUGCGAAUUGCAGAAUCCGUGAGUCAUCGAAUCUUUGAACGCACAUUUCGCCCUCUGGUAUUCCGGAGGGCAUGCCUGUUCGAGCGUCAUUAUCACCCCUCAAGCCCGGCUUGUUGUUGGAUGCAGCGCUUAUCCCGCUCCUCCCAAAGAUAAUGACGGCGUCUGCGACGACUCCUGUACACUGAGCUUUCGGGCACGUACACGGCUAGAAGUCCAGACCCGGUCGCCGUCCCCCCCGCGGGGACACCCAUUACCACAAGGUUGACCUCGGAUCAGGUAGGAAUACCCGCUGAACUUAAGCAUAUCAAUAAGCGGAGGA
rnacentral:misc_RNA from 1 species